ensembl:lncRNA
GUCAUAGCAACUGUCUUUUUUUUUUCUGAUUUCUCCUUCCCUUUGUCCCUCAGGUACUGGUGACUCAGAGUGGGAACUUAUAAAAUAUGAAGAAGAACAUGCAAAGACUCUCACAGAAUAAACAUAAUUAUUUCCUGACAAAACUGCACACUGACAAUUAUUGAGCAACAGCAUGAAGUGAUGAAGAUAUAGAAAUACUAAAAAUGGAACUGACGUGAUCGUCCGACUCCUACAUAAAUCAACAGUGCAAGGGCUGCACAACAUCCAGAAUUCCAGAACAGGGAGUCCCCAGUCCUGGAAGAGACAUUCAAGUGAUGCUGCAAUACAGAUAAGUCAAUGCCUUUUCCAUACAUGGACCUCCUGGGGACCCUUCUCCCCUUUAGCUAUAUGGGACAGCAGGGUGGUUGGGACCCCCAGAUUGCAGAAUCCCAUAACAAGGGCUGAGAGCUCAUCACUAAAGAUCUCGGGUUACUUGCAGUCCCAUCACAGCUACUCAGGGCGGGACUU